rnacentral:rRNA from 1 species
GAUGAACGCUAGCGGGGGGCCUAACACAUGCAAGCCGAGCGGUAUUGUUUCUUCGGAAAUGAGAGAGCGGCGUACGGGUGCGGAACACGUGUGCAACCUGCCUUUAUCUGGGGGAUAGCCUUUCGAAAGGAAGAUUAAUACUCCAUAAUAUAUUGAACGGCAUCGUUUAAUAUUGAAAGCUCCGGCGGAUAUAGAUGGGCACGCGCAAGAUUAGCUAGUUGGUGAGGUAACGGCUCACAAAGGCAAUGAUCUUUAGGGGGCCUGAGAGGGUGAUCCCCCACACUGGUACUGAGACACGGACCAGACUCCUACGGGAGGCAGCAGUGAGGAAUAUUGGUCAAUGGGUGCAAGCCUGAACCAGCCAUCCCGCGUGAAGGACGACUGCCCUAUGGGUUGUAAACUUCUUUUGUAUAGGGAUAAACCUACCCUCGUGAGGGUAGCUGAAGGUACUAUACGAAUAAGCACCGGCUAACUCCGUGCCAGCCGCCGCCGUAACAC